GACGAACGCUGGCGGCGUGCUUAACACAUGCAAGUCGAACGGUAAGGCCCUUCGGGGUACACGAGUGGCGAACGGGUGAGUAACGCGUGGGUGAUCUGCCCUGCACUUCGGGAUAAGCCUGGGAAACUGGGUCUAAUACCGGAUAGGACUCCUGCCUGCAUGGGUGGGGGUGGAAAGCUUUUGCGGUGUGGGAUGGGCCCGCGGCCUAUCAGCUUGUUGGUGGGGUGAUGGCCUACCAAGGCGACGACGGGUAGCCGGCCUGAGAGGGUGACCGGCCACACUGGGACUGAGAUACGGCCCAGACUCCUACGGGAGGCAGCAGUGGGGAAGAUUGCACAAUGGGCGCAAGCCUGAUGCAGCGACGCCGCGUGAGGGAUGACGGCCUUCGGGUUGUAAACCUCUUUCAGCACAGACGAAGCGCAAGUGACGGUAUGUGUAGAAGAAGGACCGGCCAACUACGUGCCAGCCGCCGCGGUAA
rnacentral:rRNA from 1 species